GAAACAGAAAUCUAUCUUUACUCUUCCGCUUCCAAGACUUUUGCAAGCAUUGUGAAUUCUGUUGGGUUGGAAAAGCUGAGCUUGAAACUUUUGAGAAGGUGACCAUGGUAUUGGGAUAACUUGAAUUUCCUUCUGCCAAACAAGGAGAAAUCAAACAACUGAAGAGACUUCCUUUGUUUCUAUCCACAUUGGAGCUAAACCAGGUGGUCUGCUAUCAAAUCACCACCAUUUUGUUCUUGAGAUCAUGAAGCGAAGGAGGAGCUUAUGGCUGAAAAUUUUGUAAGAAGACUUGAAAUUCACUAUUCCCUUGGACGCAACUAAUCUAUCGUCUUUAAGGAGCUUACUUUGGGCACCAAUAACAUACGUUAUAGUAAUUUUAGCACUAUGAUGGUAAUCUUCAAGAAAGAGACGUUAACUCUAGGGAUAAAGCCUUUCUUUAAUAACCAGGUGAAACUGUCUAAUGUGAGGAUCCAAGACUGAUGGGUAUAUAAUCUUUCAUCUUUCAUCUUUUCGCCUUUUAAUUUUGCAGAAAAGAUUGAAGCUUCAAUUACUGUAUAUUGACGAGAAACCUUCUCGUGUCAAAACCGAGAACUAUGUAAACUGGCAAUUUUUCACCCUUGUUUUGUGAACGCAAGGAGAUGUUCUUUUGGUUAUUGUUUCAAAUCACUACUGCUAAGUGCGUUCGUGGUCUUUCUCCUUUCCUAGUGAGAUCUCUUUACAAAGACGCACUGAUUUAUGUAAAGAUUGUUUCUUUAAA